GAGUUUGAUCCUGGCUCAGGACAAACGCUGGCGGCGUGCAUAACACAUGCAAGUCGAACGAAAUCUACAUGAUUUAGUGGCGAACGGGUGAGUAACACGUGAGAAACCUGCCUUACACAGAGGGAUAGCCGUUGGAAACGACGAUUAAUACCUCAUGACACCGUGACAUCGCAUGAUGAUGCGGUCAAAGAUUUAUCGGUGUAAGAUGGUCUCGCGCCUGAUUAGCUGGUUGGUGGGGUAACGGCCUACCAAGGCGACGAUCAGUAGCCGAUCUGAGAGGGUGGACGGCCACAUUGGGACUGAGACACGGCCCAAACUCCUACGGGAGGCAGCAGUGGGGAAUUUUGCACAAUGGGGGAAACCCUGAUGCAGCGACGCCGCGUGAACGAAGAAGGCCUUCGGGUUGUAAAGUUCUGUCCUUGGUGAAGAUAA
rnacentral:rRNA from 1 species